rnacentral:rRNA from 1 species
AGAACGUAGCGAAAUGCGAUACUUGGUGUGAAUUGCAGAAUCCCGUGAACCAUCGAGUUUUUGAACGCAAGUUGCGCCCGAGGCCACCCGGCCGAGGGCACGCCUGCCUGGGCGUCACGCCUCGCGUCGCUCCGCCUACCUCGCCCUGAGCACU